rnacentral:lncRNA from 1 species
GGCUACUAUAAAUAGGCAUGAAGUAUAAAGAUCAUCACAAGCACAAGCAUCAGAACCAAGCAACACUAGUUAACACCAAUCCACCAUGAAGACCUUCCUCGUCUUUGCCCUCCUCGCCGUUGCGGCGACAAGUGCAAUUGCGCAGAUGGAGACUAGAUGCAUCCCUGGUUUGGAGAGACCAUGGCAGCAGCAACCAUUACCACCACAACAGACAUUUCCACAACAACCACUAUUUUCACAACAACAACAACAACAACUAUUUCCUCAACAACCAUCAUUUUCGCAGCAACAACCACCAUUUUGGCAGCAACAACCACCAUUUUCUCAGCAACAACCAAUUCUACCACAGCAACCACCAUUUUCGCAGCAACAACAACUAGUUCUACCGCAACAACCACCAUUUUCACAGCAACAACAACCAGUUUUACCUCCACAACAAUCACCUUUUCCACAACAACAACAACAACACCAACAGCUGGUGCAACAACAAAUCCCUGUUGUUCAGCCAUCCAUUUUGCAGCAGCUAAACCCAUGCAAGGUAUUCCUCCAGCAGCAGUGCAGCCCUGUGGCAAUGCCACAACGUCUUGCUAGGUCGCAAAUGUUGCAGCAGAGCAGUUGCCAUGUGAUGCAACAACAAUGUUGCCAGCAGUUGCCGCAAAUCCCCCAGCAAUCCCGCUAUGAGGCAAUCCGUGCUAUCAUCUACUCCAUCAUCCUGCAAGAACAACAACAGGUUCAGGGUUCCAUCCAAUCUCAGCAGCAGCAACCCCAACAGUUGGGCCAAUGUGUUUCCCAACCCCAACAGCAGUCGCAGCAGCAACUCGGGCAACAACCUCAACAACAACAAUUGGCACAGGGUACCUUUUUGCAGCCACACCAGAUAGCUCAGCUUGAGGUGAUGACUUCCAUUGCGCUCCGUAUCCUGCCAACGAUGUGCAGUGUUAAUGUGCCGUUGUACAGAACCACCACUAGUGUGCCAUUCGGCGUUGGCACCGGAGUUGGUGCCUACUGAUAAGGAAAGAUCUCUAGUAAUAUAUAAUUGGGUCACCGUUGUUUAGUCGAUGGAUAUGUCGAUGCAGCGGUGACAAAUAAAGUGUCACACAAUGUCAUGUGUGACCCGCCCAAACUAGUUGUUUAAAUUCUGAAAUAAAAUAAAAAUAAAGUUGUAUCAAGACAAUGUUCAUAUUGGCAUUGUGUGGAUGUCAAUCUGAUUGCCAUGCUUGCAAGUUCAUAAGUUUGUCUUUCCUUGUCACAAGCGCAACCUGGUGCCUUAAUUAAUUAUCAAUGUACUGGAAUAAUCACUAUUUAAAUAUAAUAGUGUCACUGUAAAAUUUGGGUUGAACUCUUUAUUGGUUGGAGAUUUGAGAUCUUGUUUUUUAUUGGUUUGUAUCUAGUACCAACUAGUACCACUGUCUACAGUGACAAUCACAACCAGUUUUGUUGCUAAUUAUGUUUGCUUUCUUGCAAAUACAUUCAUUGAUUCUUUGCAUGUCAAAUUAUUUGCCGAGAAAAAUACCAGCUUUUUCUUGAACUUCACAAACACCACUAGCUAGUUAAUUUGAAAUAAGCUGCCAAUUUAUUUCCUUGUAUUUAUGCCCUUUACAUCGAACCAGUACAAUCAUUGUGCUAGCUAGAGAAAAGGAGUUGCUGGCACGUUCAUGUCUAGAACUAAAUCAGACUGAAUUGAACUUGUUCUUUACAACUAGCUAGGAGCAGAAAACUUACUGUGAAUUGCACUUGAUUAUAUUUGAUUUUGUUUAAGAGCUACAGGGAAAAAUCAUCAAAAAAUGCCCUAAAAUAUCUUAUCGUAAAAUAGGUUCACCAGGAGAUACAGUCGCAAGAAAAAAAAGGCUCACCAGGAGAUAGAUGCUGCACAUUAUCAUUUAGAAAUUAGACCAAGAGAAAUGUGGAUUUGGCGGCUCAUAAUUCUAUAAGACUAUAACAGGUUGUCCAAUCAUUUAGAAAUUAGAUCAAGAAAAUGUGGAACUAAACAUAUUAAUGGCUAGGAUCAUAUUUGCACUGUGGGAACUUGGUAUGCGCGCUCCAACAUGCCCGUUGAAAGCAUUUUUUCCUCUGAUGCACAUAUGAAAUAUGACUGGUCGAAAACAGAAGAAACAGUGAGAUAAUAUGGAUGCUUGGAUGUUGUAACAAACAUAAACUUAUUAUAUAUAUAUCCAAUCCACCGAGCGGACGAACAUCCUAGGAGCUUUUCUCUCGGAGAUCGAAAAGAAACGAAAUGUCCACGCCAACUGCUUCUUCUCCAUCUGUAUAACGCGUGUAGGAGAAUUAUUUUGAUGAUUAUUUGAAGUGGCAUCCACAUAGAGUACAAAGCUAUUCAGCUAGAAAAGCCACAAAUGUACAUCACUUUUAGCCUACAUGACUGAACUCUGCUCCAUGACCUUCUUGAUUCAUGCGGCUCCUGAAUUCAUGUGAAUCGAAUCGCGGAAGAGAUAGGCUUUCAGGGUCAAUACCUCAUGUUCAUGGGAAGGCCGGAGAGGCUGCGUCGAUGUGCAGCCUGAACCCGAGGAGGAGCUCCGUGUCGGUGUCAAAACCGGCGGAUCUCGGGUAGGGGUCCCGAAUUGUGCGUCUAGGAUCGAUGGUAACAGGAGACGGGGGACACGAUGUUUACCCAGGUUCGGGCCCUCUCUAUGGAGGUAAUACCCUACUUCCUGCUUGAUUGAUCUUGAUGAAUAUGGGUGUUACAAGAGUUGAUCUACCAUGAGAUCGUAAUGGCUAAACCCUAGAAGUCUAGCCUAUGUGUAUACGGUAAUGAAUGUCCCCUAUCCGGACUAUGCUCUCCGGUUUAUAUAAACACCGGAGAGAUCUAGGGUUACAUGGAGUCGGUUACAUAAGAAGGAAUCUUCACAGCUGGUCACCUAGCUUGCGUUCCACGCCAAGGGAAGUCCAAUCCGUACACGGGUGUAGUCUUCGGCCUUCGUAUCUUCACAGCCCAUCAGUCCGGCCCAAUGAAUAAUAGGCCGGACGCCCGAGGACCCCUUAGUCCAGGACUCCCUCAGUAGCCCCUGAACCUGGCUUCAAUGACGAGGAGUCUGGCGCGCAGAUUGUCUUCGGCAUUGCAAGGUGGGUUCCCUCCUUCCGAAUUCCGGAAUAGUCUUCGGAUGCAGUAGAUAUAUUUGGACCUGUGUAUAUAAUUGCAAAAAAUACAAUAUUCCACGAGUCUAAUUUGUUGAUAACUGUUUACAACAUCGCAUCACGCCUGCCCGGUUACUAUUUCCAACCGUUGGCUGGCACGUCGCCCCACGUCUCGGGACGCGGUUUUACUGGCACGUCUUGCCAAGGCAGAGAUCGUGUUCCCUUAUUCACGGGACUUUCAUUAAUGCAAGCGUGGGUAACCCAACCGUCCCCUGGGUACAACUCUCUGGGGAUAGGUAAGUUUCGAGACCCAGGUGGAUACCCUUAGUAUUUGGGGUCUUUAUAUAGGGCCCCAGACUCGUCUUCUUCCUUUGCGCUUGCUUCUUCCUCAACCCUAGCCACCCCAAGUUCCAACCCUCGGGUUCCCAUCGCCACCAGCCCUAAUCAUGUCCGAAUCCAGCCGUCAAGGCCGGUGGGUGGCUUCUUCUAUCACAGAGGAGGAUAUUGCAAAGCUCUGCGCAGUGAGGUAUCUGACCCCGGAAAUCCUUCAUCAGCUUCCUGCACAGGGGCAGGUCGUUCCUACCCCCAAAUCCGGCGAGAGGGUAGUGUUUGUGUCCCACUUCCUCCAUGGGUUAGGUUUCGCGCUUAACCCCUUCGUCCGGGGGCUCAUGUUCUACUAUGGGCUAGACUUUCACGAUCUAGCCCCGGACUCUAUUCUUCUCAUCUCGACAUUUAUCGUCACGUGUGAGGCCUUCCUUCGGACUCCUCCGCACUUUGGUUUGUGGCUCAAGACCUUUGAUGUGAGGCCGCAGGUGACAGAGGAGGAGCAGGCAGAGUGUGGCAGCGUCACAAUAGGCAAGCUUGCCAGCGCGGUUUGGUUUGAAGGAUCUUUCACCAAGUCUUCCGACCUAUGGCAGCACGGGUGGUUUUAUAUCAACGAGCCGCGGGGCUCCAAGUGGGAGGCUACGCCUGCGUUCCGACCCGGCCCUCCAAUUCAGCUCGCUUCAUGGAUCAAUAAGGGACUGGACUGGGGAUCCGUCAAUGAAAUGCAGACUCUGCAAGGUCGCAUCCGAAGCCUUACCAAGAAGGGCAUCGGUCUUGUGAACGUCGUUCAAGUAAUGCUAGUCCGCCGGACCCUGCCAUGUCAGCGGCGGCCUCUCCGUAUGUGGGAGUUUAAUUCAGAAGGGCAGCGGCCUCUUCAGCACUUCUUCGGCACCACGCACGAAGGAAUGUGGAAAUUAUAUUUCGGGGAACGAGAGCAAUGGCCGGACACCACCGAAGAUGUCGGCCUUGACUGCAAUCAUCCAGACACCGCGGUAAGUACUCAAACGCUGAACACAUUCAAGCAUCUCUUGACAACAUACUGAACAAUCCGUCCCUAUACAGGACUGGAUAAAGAAAGCAGUGUUAAUCUGGUGUCCGGCGCCCCUUCCCGAAGACUCUGCGACCGCCCUGCUGACGAGAAUGCUGAUUCCCACACCGUACCAGGUUUCUGCGGAGGAGGGCGAGAGCGGGGAACCCGAAGGUGAUACCCGCCCUGAGGACGAAUUAGACAUUGUGUUCGGGGAAACCGAAACUCUUUUGCCCAAGGGCAAAGGUGCGGAGGAAGCUCUCCAUGGCAAAAAGAGGGCUGCUUCCGAAGAUCAGGAGGGGAAGCCUUCCAAGAGAGGAAAAAUGCCAUCGUCGGGCAGUUUGGGCCGGCCAAGCGAUGCUGCCGUAAGGCUUUCUGGCGAGGACGAACCUCUGGCCAAACCGUAAGUGAGGCUGGGGCACUUUAAACAUACCUCAUUCUUUUCCUAUUAGUGAAGUAAUCAUCCGACAUAUGCACAUCCACGUAGGUUAACGCCUGGUGUUUCUCAAUCAUCCUCCUCCUCGGGAGACCUUCUUCCGGAGAUGAUGGAGAGUGACACGCCAUCUCCGGCUUCUUCGCGCAACAGGGGGGAUGAUACCGAGGUAUCGUCCCGAAGGGCUCCUCCCCAUCGUCAAGCGGUGCAGGAAACGGAGAAGGCGUUACCCGAAGGUGGUGCCUCUGUCACCCAGGGUUCGGGAAUCAAGAAUGACGGCCCCGAACCAUCCGGUUUACAGCCGGAGAUGAUUCUGGGGGAGAAUAAGCAGAUUAAUUCAAAGGAAUGCCGUACUCCGGCGGCGGUUUCCGAAGACCCCGGAGCGCCGGAAAUGUUGACGGACAUGCUGCGGCGAGCGUCCAUUUCAGAGAAGCACCAUGCCUUGAUGGUUACGGUGGUCGAAAAGGUUCUAUCCGCGAAAAGCGGAUUGAACGAGGCCUUCUGGAGCCUUCUAAGAGGUUUUGAGGUUUGUGAUGUAGUUUUGCCAAUUGAAUGAUUUUGACAGAAUGCACUUGUUGUAUAUGCAGUAGCCCCUGAGACUCGGAUUGCCUUCCGAAGGAAGCGAUCGGAGGAUAAAAAAGAUAUGCUCAGUUACUAACCUUGAAUCAACUUGGAAUACAGGCUGCCUCGCCUCCUGCGGCUACCCGAAAUACGGAAGUGGCCGAACUGCAGCGAAAGCUGAAUAUUGCAGAAGAUGACAUUGCAUUGAUCAACAAGCGUCUUGACGACUCGCAAGGUAUAUAGUUCGAGCAUUCCUUACACGAAUGUUCUUGUAAUGUAGGCCUGACGCCGAAAAGGGUUUAAUGUGCAUGAUUGCAGAUGGUGUUCCCUCCGUUGAAGCUCCUUGUGAGGAGCUAGCCCGGCCCAAGGAGCAGGCCCGGUGUAGUGAUGCGGCUGCCGAGAAGGCAUCGGCUGAUCUAAGAGCCGAAUAAGCAGCUCGGCGCCGAAGUGAGGAGAAAAUAUCCGCACUGGCGCUUGAAUUGAAGAAUACUGCCAGCCACUGUGAAUUCCUUGAGAAGGAGAAUAAAGCCAAAAUGGCUGAACUUGAUAAGGCCGUUCGAGAGGCGAGUGAAGCUCGGUCUGAAUCUAGGGCAGCUUGGGAAGAGAUUCGGCAGGCUAAGGAGAUAGCGGCCGGUAAGCCCUUUUUGCUUCAGACUAAGUUUGGCGAUCCGGACUAUGCUCAGCUAAACCAGGUCUGGAGUUCUCCGACUGAAUUUUUGGACUUGCCGAAGAGUUCUUCCAAUGCAGCGCAAUUUUACCAAGCGCAAGAGGGGUAUGCGAUGGAGAAGCUUUUCUGGUCACAAUUUGGCGCCUCAAAGCGCCCUCUGUUGCUAAAUGAACAGAUGUCCCAGUGGGCCGAGCUUCAUAGGAUAUCCGGCGACGCCAUGAAGAACGUCAUAAUCCGGUUGUGGCCGAGUGAGCCUGUUCCCAAGAGCUAUUUUGGCCUGGUGCGGCGUCUUGUUGAUGCUGUGCCGCGUAUCGAUGCUGCGAAGCGGUCGGCAUGCACUGAGGGUGCACGGAUGGCCUUUGCCCGAGUCAAGACGUUCUGGGGGAAGAUGAAGGCCAUCGAUGUUGCGGCGAAGGGUCCGCCCAAGGGCAAGGACCGUAAUGAGCCGGAGCAUUAUUUUGAAGACGUCCUAGAAGCCGCCCGCCUGAUAGAGGGUCAAUGCUCGAAGAACAUAAUGUUCGAGUGAGGUGUAUUAGAAUUGUAAAAGACAAUUUUAUGAUUGAUCUAUUUUAUAUUUUUGCUCCAAAGCUUGAAUUCCUCCUCUGCGGCCGUUUUAAUAUAAUAUGAAAGUUUUCCAGUCGUCGGCUUCAGCCCCCUCGUAGGAAGUACGGGGGUGUUCGAAAAAACAUUUAAUCACUCUUUGUCCAAUGUCUUGGUCCGUAAAGGAGGUGAUAAUGCAGCGAACCAGGCAAUCGGACUAUAAGGCGUUAACACUUUCACUUAGCCAUAGGAGUUUUAUGGUGGGGCUACGACAUUGCCCCUGGUGUGUAUGCGGCGUAUAAUGCCUUGCAUAUUUGAUCUGAAAAAGAUCCCUCGUAUGACACGGAGAAUCGCUAAGGAUUCCAAGAAGUCGUCAAGUGGUUAAUCAGCUCUCGCCGCAUCAUGACAGUCAGUUUUCGGCUUUCUCUACUGAGGUGCUCGUCCGGUUUAGAACAGGGCACAAUCGCAGUAGUUCUCCCUUUACUACCCUAGCCGAUAGAGCGGAACGUAGGGUAGCAAGCACAGGAGCCGGGCAACCCAACUAUUGACCCAAGACAAUGAUUCGGAGCUGAUGCAUAUAAGGCCAAACUUGCGACGCCCAAGUACGCUAUAGAGUUGUUGGGACUUUUGCUGGCAACUCUUUCGUUCCCAUACCGAGCCCCUGGCAGGGUAUGCCGAGGUGUAUCUGUAACGCAGCCAUUGAGGCCGUACUCAUUGUUGCAAGAGUAUGAAAGAUUAGUUCGGACGAGGUUUACUGGGAACGGAGCAAUAUGCCAAUGACGAAUUUAAAAAUAAUAAAAAAGAAACCACAAGCCCGGCUAUUUGACAUGCUCGGGGUCGGGUACAGAGGAAAAAAAGGCUUAAUACAGGCUCGGAAUAAAGAGUGUGGUCUACAAAAAGUUAUUUUGGACCUCCUGUCGCACGUCUGCGCCGCCCGUCCUCGGGGAGGGGAAUCCUUAAGGGAAGUAGCCCCUUAGGUGAGUGUACGGAUCCGAACUCCGAUAGAGUCCGUUGUAGAUGCUGUCAUGUUGGUCACCUGUUCUUAAGAAAUGAUACAGAAAAAUAAGAAAAACGGAUAAGAACGUUACAGGGAUUCUUGCAGGCUUGUCCAUAUUGUGCUUCCGCCGAUGCCCAUGGUAUCUUGAGUGCGUAGUGAUGUAUGCGUGGUGUGAAUCUCGCCGGUAUGGUAGGUGGGUGGCGGAUGCCGAACUGCUAUUUCUGUUCCGAGAGUGGUCGAACUUCGGAGGGAAACUGCUUCUGGCCCCUGAUAUUCGGCUGGCGAAACGCUCCGUUGUCUUUAUCGCCUGGUGGCCUCCUCCCCUUGCUAUCGGCGUUGAGCUUGCCUGCCUGCUUGAGGACCCAACAAUUUCUGUUAGUAUGGUUAGCUGGCUUAUCAGGAUGACCAUGAAUCUGACAAGGUCGGUCCAAUAUUCUGUCAAGGGUGGAUGAUCCAUCCUGGUUUGCCUUUAGUGGCUUCUUCCAUUGACCGGGUUUCGAAUUGUGAAAUUCGGCGUUGACCGCUGUGUCGCGUAAUCCUUCAGUAUUAUUGCGACUGUUGUGUUCGGUUCGUCGAGGCUUACCGUUGCCGUCUUGAAUUUCGGAAGUGCCCGGGUCACUGGCGUUGUUGCUCUUACGAGCGAGCCAGGUGUCUUCUCCCGCACAAAAGCGAGUCAUCAGAGCGGUAAGGGCUAUCAUGGAUUUGGGUCCUUCCUGGCCGAGGUGACGCGCUAGCCAUUCAUCCCGGAUGCCAUGUUUGAAGGCUGCGAGGGCUUCUGCGUCCGGACAGUCGACAAUAUGUUUUUUUUUUUGACUAAGAACCUAGUCCAGAGCUCCCUGGCGGACUCGCCGGGCUUCUGGACAAUAUGACCAAAGUCAUCAGCAUCUAGUGGCCGGACAUAUGUUCCCUGGAAGUUGUCUCGAAAGGCGUCUUCCAAGUCUUCCCAGCUACCAAUAGAAUUUUCUGGUAAACUGUUUAGCCAGUACCGGGCUAGCCCUUUAAGCUUGAGAGGUAUGUAUUUAAUGGCAUGAAGGUCGUCUCCGCGAGCCAUGUGGAUAUAUAUGGAGGAGGUAAUCCUCAAUCCAUACCGCGGGAUCUGUUGUUCCAUCGUAUGAUUCGAUAUUAAUGGGUUUAAACCCGUCUGGAAAUUCAUGCUCCAUUACCUCGUCGGUGAAGCAAAGAGGGUGUGCGGCUCCUCUAUGUUGAGCCACACUAUGAAGCACCUCCGGCGGACUCUGUUUACGGAGUUCGGAUCGAGCGUGGUCGGCUCUGUUGUGUCCGAAUAGGUGACCAUCAUUACGGUCGGGGCAUGUCCCCGCGAUCUGUGUAUUGACUUCGUGUGUCAUGUUCUACCCUCCAGGUCCUUGGAUGUCGCGAGUGUUCCCCCGAGCUGUGUUGUUCUUGUUUUGAUGGCCGGAUGGGUUGGUAUGAUGCUCUGCUUGGGCUACUGCUUUGUCCGGACCGAACUGUGGUCGGCCUACAUCCUUAUUCGAUGGUGGUGUGGGCUUCAACGCCCUGCCAUCGUAUUGAGGGGGCCACCUGCUGUUGGGGUGGCUCUUGUCUGGGCCAAUAAGGCCGUAUUGUUCGGCGGCCAAGACCUCGGUCCAUCUAUCAUUGAGCAAAUCUUGGCUCGCUUUAAGCUGCAGCUGCUUCUUUCUUAGGCUCCUUGCAGUGGCUAUGAGCUGGCGUUUAAAGUGCUCCUGCUCGAGAGGUUCCUUAGGCACGAUAAAAUCCUUGUUGUCGAGGAUCUCCUCUUCCUCGGAGAGUGGGAGAUAAUUGCUAUCCUCUGAGUCUCCAUAUGUUACCUGUUCAUCAGGGUUGUCUUGCCCGCCUUCCUGUUCCUCCUGUUCGGAUCCUACCUCAACAGGGUCUUCAUCGUCCGGAGUGUUGUCUUCUCCGGUGCAAGUGUUAUUUUCUCUUGAGCGUCGUGACUUGGAGCGGCGCAAGGCGCGCCGGUGUUCGGACUAUGCACCAGGAGGCUUAUCCUCAAUUGGAUCCUCCUUGUCAUCGUCGAAAGCAUCGUUGGGUGUGUCUAUCAUACACACGUCAUACCAUGAAGUGGUCAUCCCGCGUCUAGCGGGUAGUGAGUUCUGGCCUUGCCCCUCAUCGUCGUCCGUACCGUCGAUGUCUUCAGGGCCGAGGUCAAGCGUGUUGGUUGGGUCUUCGACAGUGGCUAUGAAGUGGGUGGUGGGUGGGAAGCAAAAUUCUCCAUCAUCAGCCGUAAGUUCGAGCCGAACAUAGUUCAGUGGCGAGUCGCCUACCAGAGAUAGGUUUUUUAGUGAGUUUAGUACAUCGCCCAUGGGCGAGUGUUGGAAGACGUCUGCGGCGCUGAACUUGAAGAUCGAUAACCGAUCGAGUUCGGCAUCUGCAGACUCGCAAGGUUCGGAACCUGUCGCCGGGGACGAAUCCGGGGUUCCGCUGAUGCGGAUAUCAUACGCAGUAGAAUCUGUGUGCGGCUCGAACGCCGCCGAAUCGGUAGCCCUCGUGAUGGGGUUGAGCUUCCCAUCCCGGGACGACUUGAUCUGCUCCGGAUCUAAGGCCAGAGUUGCUGUAGGAGCUAUCUCCUCGAUGCGGCCCAAUGACAGGUUUAAGCCAUGUCCAUCGAGGCGGCGGGAGCGAUUGCCGCGGUCUUGAAUCCGUCGAAGAUCAAGUCUCCACGGACGUCCCCAACGUAGUUCAAGCUUCCGAAUCUGACCUGAUGGCCAGGGGCGUAGCUGUCGAUCUGCUCCAGAUGGCCAAGCGAGUUGGCCCGCAGUACGAUGCCACCGAACACGAAGAUCUGUCCGGGGAAAAAGGUUUCUCCCUGGACAACGUCACCAUCGACGAUUGAAGGGGCCAUCGAACCUUUUGUCGACGGCACAGUGGAACUCUCAAUGAAAGCACCAAUGUCGGUGUCAAAACCGGCGGAUCUCGGGUAGGGGGUCCCGAACUGUGCUUCUAGGAUCGAUGGUAACAGGAGACGGGGGACACGAUGUUUACCCAGGUUCCGGCCCUCUCUAUGGAGGUAAUACCCUACUUCCUGCUCUAUUGAUCUUGAUGAAUAUGAGUGUUACAAGAGUUGAUCUACCACGAGAUCGUAAUGGCUAAACCCUAGAAGUCUAGCCUAUGUGUAUAUGGUAAUGAAUGUCCCCUAUCCGGACUAUGCUCUCCGGUUUAUAUAGACACCGGAGAGAUCUAGAGUUACAUGGAGUCGGUUACAUAAGAAGGAAUCUUCACAGCUGGUCGCCUAGCUUGCCUUCCACGCCAAGGAAAGUCCAAUCCGGACACGGGUGUAGUCUUCGGCCUUCGUAUCUUCACAGCCCAUCAGUCCGGCCCAAUGAAUAACAGGCCGGACGCCCGAGGACCCCUUAGUCCAGGACUCCCUCACUCGGAGACCUUCUUGUGGGGACCAUCUACGAGAGGAAGUAAAGAGGGAGAUCAGAAGAGGAUACAUGAGAGGUUAGGGUGGGGAGGAGGCUGCGCCGGCGAGCGGCCACGGCUCAAGGCGGUCCGGCCGACGAGGAGGACGAACAAGGGAGAGGAAGAUGCAGAUCGGCAAACUGUGGGUUGGGCUUAUGACGUUGGGUUCUCACAAAACUAUAGCCCAUUUCGAAUUUGGUGCCCGUGACGACACACACACAACGCUUAUGUUGGGCCUAAUCACUCACUUCCAGCCCCCAACUCUGAUUUCCCCCUCAAAGAAAAACAAAACUUCAACCCUUCUCACUCCCCAUGAUCACAACAACAACAACAGAAAUAUCUAUAUGCAAGAUCAGGAAAUAUCUAUAAGGGGCAUUCAGAACACAUGUGACCUAAUCGCUAUAACAGCUUGAUAUUAUGGUGGGAUAGACAUAAACUGGUUCACGAAGGAAAGUUUCAUGAUGCAAACCAAAAUUCAAGGGGAGCACGUGCUAUAAUGGCAAACUAUGUUAAUGCCUACUCCCCUAAAGCAACUAGUAAAACAGGGGGAUGGAGUAUCCCUUCUAGGGUUUUUGUGAAGCUGAAUAUUGAUGUAUCUUUUCAUCAUGGUCUGCUUCAGGGUACAUCGGGGGUUAUUCUUAGACAUUACAAAGGCAGGCUCAUUGUCGGUGGAAACUGGAGGAUAGAUUGUCGUGCGGAUGUAUUAGCAGCAGAAGUUGUGGUGCUAAAGUUUGGGUUAUUCCUUGCACAGAAGGCGGAUUGCAAUCGUCUUGUUGUUAACUCGUACAGUACAUAAGUGAUUGACACAAUAAAGAAUGGAUGACACUCGACCGGAGCGGCGGUUGUAGUUUUCUAUGAUUGUUAAUUUUUGGGCUUGUGAUUUUUCUUUUAUUAGAUUUGAACUUUGUAAUAGGGAAGUAAAUAAGAUGGCAAAUGAAAUUGCUAGGCCAGCGAAAUUUUUUGUCACUAGUGAUUGGUUUGAGGAGUGAAUGAGAUUGUGCCUUUUUUAUUGACAAUGUAACAGUUGUUUCUAAUAAAUAAAGUUGAAGUUUUAUUGAAAAGGACAACAACAAGAAAAAAUAUCCUCAUCUUGUCCCAAGGGAUCUGAAACCCCAGUAUCCUUGCAUCUUUCUUUUGCAUGGCAUGUACAUAAGAUUUUCUUUGUUAGUAGCAUGUGUUGUUGGCGGUGGCGGCAUGAUGUUAGAGGUGACAUGUGUGGACGGAUGAUUGUUUCGACUCCAUUUAUUCUUAGGGCCUGUACAAUGCUAGGUGUUCAGCGAAGUGCUUAGAAAAAUAAACUGAGUUUUUAAAGCAUUUUUUAAGCACCGAUGUCUAUUUCUAAUGAUGAGAGACACCUAAUUAGACGUUUACCCUAUACAAAUAAACGUCGAUGCUUUAAGAAAUACUGAUUUAUUUAUCUAACAACCUUUCUUACGCACCUUACAUGGUAAGGUUCGAGAGCUAGUGGCGUCUUGGUUUCUCUUGUUUCUGUCACAUCAAUAUCAUGCUUUGGAUAUAUUCCAGUGCCCUUUUAUUGAUCACUGCCUAUGGCCAUUGAAAUGAGAUCUGGGACUCGGCCAGCUGCAAGAUACCUCUAGAAAGCGAAUUUCCUCUGACGCACAUAUGAAAUAUGACAGUACAAAAUAGAACAAACACUAAGAUUAGACAGAUGAUUGGAUGAUGUAACUAACUUAGACAUCGCUGCACCCAGGACGGACUUUCUUCUCAGACAUCAGAGAGAAACUGAGUGUCCAUGCUGUCAGAGACGCUGGCCAUUGGGCGUUGUCAGUGACUUUAGUCUCGCCUCGGAUAUGGGAGGGGCUAGAACCACCUUAUAAGGAGGAGUGCCACACUCCCUUCAGGCUAGUCUUUUGCGAUGUGGUGGACUCUUUGCUUAUAGUGGUGUGUCUGAUGCACACCGGAAACGUCCGAACAUAUGCCGAAGGUUGGGAGCCGGGCCUGGGACGCUAACAAUUGGUAUCAUAGCUGGGCCCCAGUCUGCCCUGUUUUAGGGGGAUGAGGUGUCAGAGACGCUGGCCAUUGGGCGUUGCCAGUGACUUUAGUCCCACCUCGAAUAUGGGAGGGGGCUAGGACCACCUUAUAAGGAGGAGUGCCACACUUCCUUCAGGCUAGUCUUUUGGGAUGUGAUGGACUCUUUGCUUAUAGUGGUGUGUCCGAUGCGCACCGAAAAUGUUCGAACAUAUGCCAGAGGUUGGGAGCUGGGCCUGGAACGCUAACACAUGCCAACUGCUUCUCCUCCACUCCACCUGCAUAGCACGCAUAGGAGGAAAUUUGAUGAUUAUUUGAAGUGAUAUCCACAUAAAGCACAGAGUUACUCAGCUAGCAAAGCACCUAUGUACAUCACUGUAUGGCUACCCAACUGAAAAUUCUGCUUCCUGACCCUCCUGAUUCAUGCGGGUGGCAUGGAGAUGGGUACGCCUCUCGAAUCCAUGUGAAUCGAAUCGUUGGAACAGAUGGACGGACAGGGUCGAUACCUUGUGUAGAUGGGGAGGGGAGGCCGGAGUGGCUGCCGUCGACCGACGUACGGCCCGCAGCCGACGGAGGAGCUUCAAAAGUGACCUUUUUGUCGAGCGAUGGCGGUGGUGGUGGGGUGCCGGAUGCGGAGGGUGGUGGGAAGCCGGAUGCGGAGGGUGGAAGGAAGGCUGACGCCUCCGUCGCCGCGGACGUACGAGGAGCGGCCGCGAGCGGUGGGGUCCGGGAGAGGCUGCGCCGGCGAGCGGUCCGGCCGGCGAGGAGGACGGGGAAGGGGAGACGAAGACGACGCAGAUCGGCGGAGUGUGGGCUGGGCUUGUGACGUUGGGGCCUCCGAAAACUAUAUCCCAGUUCGAAUUUGGUGCCCUAACACACAACUCUUACGUUGGGCCUAAUCACUCCCUCCUGGCUCCAUCUAUCAUUCCCCAAAAAAAAUCCUUCACACAUAGAUGGAACUGAUGAUUCUCAAAAGAAAAAGAGAUGGAACUGAUUGUGUCAUGUCUUAAAAAAAAGAUCGAACUGAUUGUCUAAAAAAAACAUAGAUGGAACUGAUGAUUUAUCUCCGAAAAAAAGAUGGAACUGAUGAUGACGUGUCUAGAGUUAGGACCGGAUAUAUGUUAGUAGGAGUAGCUUGUAAGAAAUUACCAUCCUUUACAUAUAACGGGAAUUCGAUGAGUCAUGUCAUGCUCUAGAGGCGUCAGUUCAUCUUAUCAUCUUAGAGGAAACUACAAAGUUAUUUUUAUGAAAAGCAACCAACUCUAGAAGAACCCUCCACACGCAAGGCUUUAAUAAUCGAGCAUAUCUUAACAGCCCACACACGAUUGCAAACUUAGUCCUACACAAGCUUUGCCUUUCUUCUUUACGGCUGACAGCCUAUACAAGGUUUCAAACUCGGUUGCAAAAGUGAUACUAUCCUGAUAAGUGUGUGACAUGUAAAGUGAAUAAGGUGAGUCAUAUAUAGCAAACAUCGGGGUUUCUGUACUUUGUGUGUGAUCAUAUGCACAAUUAAAAAGCAACUUUGAUGAUCAAUCCAAAAGUACGCGUGUAGCUAGUGCAACCUAACGCAUUGUACCAAAAAUCAUUUCAGAUGCAUCCAAACGGAAUAAUUAAAGCUAAUGCAAAGAAGAAAAGAGGUGGUGCCCAGGCUACUAUAAAUAGGCAUGAAGUAUAAAGAUCAUCACAAGCACAAGCAUCAAAACCAAGCAACACUAGUUAACACUAAUCCACCAUGAAGACCUUCCUCAUCUUUGCCCUCCUCGCCGUUGCGGCAACAAGUGCCAUUGCACAAAUGGAGAAUAGCCACAUCCCUGGUUUGGAGAAACCAUCGCAGCAACAACCAUUACCACUGCAACAAACAUUAUCGCACCAACAACAACAACAACCUGUCCAACAACAACCACAACCAUUUCCACAACAGCAACCAUGUUCACAGCAACAACAACCACCAUUAUCGCAGCAACAACAACCACCAUUUUCACAACAACAACCACCAUUUUCGCAGCAACAACAACCAUCAUUUUCGCAGCAACAACAACCACCAUUUUCACAGCAACAACCACCAUUUUCGCAGCAACAACAACCAGUUCUACCGCAACAACCAUCAUUUUCGCAGCAACAACUACCACCAUUUUCACAGCAACAACCACCGUUUUCGCAACAACAACAACCAGUACUACCGCAACAACCACCAUUUUCGCAACAACAACAACCAAUUCUACCGCAACAACCACCAUUUUCGCAACAACAACAACAACCAGUUCUACCGCAACAACAAAUACUAUUUGUUCAUCCAUCUAUCUUGCAGCAGCUAAACCCAUGCAAGGUAUUCCUCCAGCAGCAAUGCAGCCCUGUGGCAAUGCCACAAAGUCUUGCUAGGUCGCAAAUGUUGCAGCAGAGCAGUUGCCAUGUGAUGCAACAACAAUGUUGCCAGCAGUUGCUGCAAAUCCCCCAGCAAUCCCGCUAUGAGGCAAUCCGUGCUAUCAUCUACUCCAUCAUCCUGCAAGAACAACAACAGGUUCAGGGUUCCAUCCAAACUCAGCAGCAGCAACCCCAAGAGUUGGGCCAAUGUGUUUCCCAACCCCAACAGCAGUCGCAGCAGCAACUCGGGCAACAACCUCAACAACAACAAUUGGCACAGGGUACCUUUUUGCAGCCACACCAGAUAGCUCAGCUUGAGGUGAUGACUUCCAUUGCGCUCCGUACCCUACCAACGAUGUGCCGUGUCAAUGUGCCGUUGUAUAGAACCACCACUAGUGUGCCAUUCGGCGUUGGCGCCGGAGUUGGUGCCUACUGAUAAGGAAAGGUCUCUAGUAAUAUAUAGUUGGAUCACCGUUGUUUAGUCGAUGGAUAUGUCGAUGCAGCGGUGACAAAUAAAGUGUCACACAACGUCGUGUGUGACCCGCCCAAACUAGUUGUUUAAAUUCUGAAAUAAAAUACAAAUAAAGUUGUAUCAAGACAAUGUUCAUAUUGGCAUUGUGUGGAUGUCCAUAUGAUUGCCAUGCUUGCAAGUUCAUAAGUUUGUCUUUCCUGGUCACAAGCGCAACCUGGUGCCUUAAUUAAUUAUGCAUGUAUUGGAAUAAUUACUAUUUAAAUAUAAUAGUGUUACUGUAAAAUUUGGGUUGAACUCUUUAUCGGUUGGAGAUUUGAGAUCUUGUUUUUUAUUGGUUUGUAUCUAGUUCCAACUACUACCAUUGUCUAUAGUGACAAUCACAACCAGUUUUAUCGUUAAUCAUGUUUGCUUUCUUGCAAAUACAUUCAUUCAUUCUUUGCAUCUUAACUUAUUUGUCGAGAAAAGACCAGCUUUUUCUUGAACUUCACAAACACCACUAGCUAGUUAAUUUGAAAUAAGCUUCCAAUUUAUUUCCUUGUAUUUAUGUCCUUUACAUCAAACCAGUACAAUUAUUGUGCUACCUAGAGAAAAGGAGUUGCUGGCAGCACGGUCAUGUCAAGAACUAAAUCAGAUUGAAUUGAACUUGUUCUUUACAACUAGCUAGGAGCAGAAAACUUACUGUGAAUUGCACUUGAUUAUAUUUAAUUUUAUUUAGGGCUACAGGAAAAAAAUCAUCAAAGAAUGCCCUAAAAAAAUCUUAUCGUAAAAUAGGUUCAUCAGGAGAUACAGUCGCAAGAAAAAAAGGUUCACCAGGAGAUAGAUGCUGCACAUUAUCAUUUACUCCCUCCAUUCCAAAAUAGAUGACUCAAUUUUAUACUAACUUUAGUCAACUUUGUACUAACUUUAUACUAAAGUUAGUACAAAGUUGAGUCAUCUAUUUUGGAACGGAGGGAGUAGAAAUUAGACCAAGAGAAAUGUGGAUUUGGCGGCUCAUAAUUCUAUAAGACUAUAGCAGGCUGUCCAAUCAUUUACAAAUUAGAUCAAGAAAAUGUGGAAUUAAACAUAUUAAUGGCUAGGAUCAUAUUUGCAAUGUGCGAUUGGUAUGCACGCUCCAACAUGACCGCUGAAAGCAUUUUUCCUCUGAUGCACAUAUGAAAUAUGACUGGUAGAAAACAGAAGAAACACAGAGAUUAUAUGGAUGAUUGGAUGUUUUAACAAACUUAAACUUAUAAUCCACCGAGCGGACGAACUUCCUAGGAGCCUUUCUCUCGGACAUCGAUAAGAAACGAAAUGUUCCACGCGAACUUCUUCUUCUCCAUCUGUAUAACGCAUGCAGAAGAAUUAUUUUGAUGAUUAUUUCAAGUGGCAUCCAUAUAGUGUACAAAGCUAUUUAGCUAGAAAAGCCACAAAUGUACAUCACUGUCAGGCUACACGACUGAAUUCUGCUCCAUGACCUUCCUGAUUCAUGCGGCUCCUGAAUUUAUCUGAAUCGAAUCAUGGAAGAGACAGGCUUUCAGGGUCGAUAGCUCAUGUUCAUGGGGAGGCCAAAGAGGCUGCGUCGACGUACGGCCUGAAACCGACGAGGAGCUCGAAGACCUUCUUGUAGAGACCAUCUGGUAGAGAAGUAAGGAGGGAGAUCGGAAGAGGAUACAGGAGAGGUUGGGGGUGGGGUGGAAGGGGAGGAGGCUGUGCCAGCGAGCGGCCGCGGCUCGAGGCGGUCUGGCCGAUGAGGAGGGUGAACAAGGGAGAGGAAGAUGCAGAUUGGCAUACUGUGGGUUGGGUUUGUGACGUUGGGUUCUCAGAAAACUAUAGCCCAGUUCGAAUUUGGUGCCCGUGACGACACACACUGAGCGUUUAUGUUGGGCCUAAUCACUCACUUCCAGCCCCCCACUCUGAUUUCCCCCUCAAAGAAAACAAAAGCUUCAACCCUUCUCACCCCCCCCCUUGAUGACAACAACAACAACAAAAAUAUCUAUAUGCAAGAUCAAGAAAUAUCUAUAAGGAGCAUUCAGAAUGCACGUGAAUUAAUCGCUAUAACAGCUUGGUAUUUAUGGUGGGAUAGACAUAAACUGGUACACGAAGGAAAGUUUCAAGAUACAAAUCAAACUUCGAUAGGAGCUCGUGCCAUAAUGGCAAACUAUUUUAAUGCCUACUCCCCUAAGGCAACUAAUAAAAGAGGGGAUGAUGGAGCAUCCCUCCUAGGGUUUUUGGGAAGCUGAAUGUUGAUGCCUUUUUUGAUCAUGAUCUGCUUCAGGGUACAGUGGGGGUGACUCUUAGACAUGACAAAGGCAGGUUCAUUGUCAGUGGAAAUUGGAGGAUUGAUUGUCGUGCUGAUGUAUUAGUAGCAGAAGUUGUGGCGCUAAAGUUUGGGUUAUUCCUUGCACAGAAGGCGGGUUGCAAUCGUCUUGUUGUUAACUCGUACAAUAUAGAAGUGAUUGACACAAUGAAGAAUGCAGGACACUCGGCCGGUGUGGCGGCUAUAGUUUUCUAUGAUUGCUAUUUUUUGGCUUGUGGUUUUUCUUUUAUUAGAUUUGAACAUUGUAACAGGGAAGUAAAUAAGGUGGCUCAUGAAAUUGCUAAGCUAGCGAAUUUUUUUGUUAUUAGUGAUUGGUUUGAGGAGCCUAUGAAUGAGAUUGUACUUUUUUUUAUUGACGAUGUAACAGUUGUUUCUAAUUAAUAAAGAUGAAGUUUUAUUAAAAACAACAACAAGAAAAAAAAUCUACUCAUCUUGUCCCGAGGGAUCCGAAACCCCAGUAUCCUUGCAUCUUUCUUUUGCAUGGCAUGUACAUAAGAUUUUCUUUGUUAGUAGCAUGUGUUGUUGGCGGCGGCUGCUCGAUGUUAGAGGCGACAUGUGUGGACGGAUAAUUGUUUCGAUCCAUAUAUGUUCUGAUAGCCUUCUUAGGCCCUGUAUAAUGCUACGUGUUUAGGGAGGUGCUUAGGAAAAUAAACCAAGUUUUUAAAGCGUUUUCUAAGCACCAGUGUCUAUUUCUAAUGAGAGACACCUAAUUAAGCGUUUAGCCUAUACAAAUAAACACCGAUGCUUUAAGAAAUACUAGUUUAUUUAUCUAAGCACCUUCCCCACGCGCCUUACAUGGUAAGGUUCUAGAGCUAGUGGUGUUUUGGUUUCUCUUUUUUCUGUCACAUCAAUAUCAUUCUUUCGAAUGGGUCAUGGGUCAACCAAAAUGGGUUUGUCUCGCGACACGAAGGCCGUAAGAGCCGAGCAUCACUAGUCUAAGAAGACCAUCGAACAUGACAUCAUGGAGCGUUUUCUUUUCUUCUUGCCGUCUUCUCCUCCUAGUCCACUAUGUCUCCUUCAACACCAAGGAGUAUUCUUUUUCUCUACAAACACCUCGUAUCGACCUUACGUCCUGCAAAUCACUGAUGGUAACUUCCAUCCUAUCACGAUAACAAUAUUCUCUUUCAAGAAUCAGCCUUCCUCGAGUUACUUAUACCACGUUAAUUGUUGAUGCUGAAAUUAAUAACCUCAACCGUCAACUGCACCCUUGCAAACAUUAAAACACGCGGGUCCAACUUGGUUCAAAACCCAUCGAUCGAUGAUAGUCGGUCAUGUGGGAUUCCGAUCGACUUAGACAUUGAGGCGUUAAAGUCACGUAGAAUAUUUUCUACAAGAAAACAUAUAAUAUAUUCAUCUUCAAUCACGACAGUAUAACAAACACGAGAAAUAAUAAAAAUUACAACCAGAUCCGUAGACCACCUAGCAACGUCUACACCAUAGAUCGAGACAAAGAAGACGAGGACUGAUCCAAAUACUUAAUCACAUGGUGCAUUCGUCGUUCGUUUCAUCAUCACCUCCCGACUGGUAUAGGCACGUCUGGUUCACGUAAUACCCCACAUAACAAUACAGUGGUUGCAUGGCCGGGCAAUAAGAAUAGACGGAGGGCGUGUAGCAUUUUGCUGAGCUCAAUCGCCGUGCAGCCGAUCAAGUUUAGGCAGAUCAAUGUUCCACAAAAUUACAUAGGCGACAAGACAGCCAUAGGCGACAAGACAGUAAAUAAACUACCACAAGCGAUAAUGGCGUACCACACAAAGGAGGCGUCGUCGACCGUCCUCGAAUUACUUAUACCACAUUAAUUGUCGAUGCUGAAAGUAAUAACCUCGACCGUCCACUGCACGCUUGGAAAAAAAAUAGUUCUUGUCAUGGAUAUAAUCAUGACAAUACUAUGGUGAUGUGAAUGUAGAGGCAAUUAUUACCUGAUUGGUACGUAAAGCAGAUGGGAUUAAACACACAGAAUUAUACAGGUUUGGGCUCUCUACGGUGUUGGUAACACCCUACUCCUGUGUGAUCUCGCUCUUGGCGUAGAUUACAAUGUGAGAGAGUUCAACCCUCAGUGUGAUGUCCUACUCUUGUCUUAUAUAUAUGGAGUACGCUAGGAGGGAGUGCCAUAACGGGCUGGUGUAAAUACUAUUGAUGGUCACAUGCAUGAUUGACUAUUCGUGGCUAUUAUUACUGCUAACUGGUGUAACGGCAAUGAUGAAUGCUCAUGGGGGGUCACGGCAUCCUAGGACGUAGCCGACUGUAGAUGGUCCGACUACUCCUGUCUUGCCGAUGUCCGACUGUAGAUGAUCUUACUGCUCCUAUCUUGCUCAUGACCGACUAUCGAGUCUUGUCUGUUAGGGGGCGUGUGAUCCUACUUUAGACACUGGACUCCUUAAUUAGCGAGUAUUCCCCUUGUAUCUGAUGCCCUGGGCUUGUAGCUCCAAUGCCCCAUUUGGGACCGUAUCCUUGAUUAGCCUGGGCUUUUGGCUGGGCCAUAUGUGUACUUAGGCCUAUCCCUUAUAUAUAACCCCAAUACUAUGUUCAUGGAACAAGUAGACGUCAAAAAAUAUAAGUUUAAAAAAGGUAAUCAUGUAUUUGAAAACUGUUGAACCUCUCUAUCAAAAAUAUUUUUGAUAUAUACAAAAAAUAUAUGUCAAAAGGUUGACACUAAAAGAAAGGAAAACAAUGAAAUCCCUAAACCCUAAACAAAGAAAACUGUGAAAGAAACAAAGAAAAAAAAGGAUAGAUAAACGAGUAAAAAAGGAAAACAAGUGUAAAACAUGAAAGAAACAAAGAUAACCAAUGAAGAAACAAAAGAAGAAAGAAAAUAAGAAGAAAAAACUAACCAAACUAGUAUGUGGAACCGAGUGAGCGAAUGACCUGAGCAUGAGCGAACGACCCAAGGUUGUCAGAAACAUGAUUUUGAAUCGGAUAGAAGUUCUGAUGGUAGGAUUGCAAACCUUACAACGACCUGAUGCUAUUCUUGCACCUUCAGGCGUGGCAAAUGCUAAUCUCGCUUUCAGCGAGAUAUAGCAUUCGUGAAGCAAUGAAGGGUGUCAAAUCGUCAUAGCUAUAUCACGCAUAUUCAGGCUCACCUCUGGAGUCCGCAUGUAUGGGCUGGAUCAUUAACGUGUUCUCUCAUAUCUCUGUACGUUCUUUUUCUUUUCGAGUCUUUUUUAAGUCGGGUUUCUUUUCAUCUACAUGAGAAAUAAUUUUAAAUAGAAUCAUUAACAUUAAAAAAAAUACAUGUUUUCAUGUCUAAUUUUUUCAUACACAUUAGAAAUUGUUUUGUAUGCACCAGGAACAUUUUUUCUCUAUACACAUUUAACAUUUUUCAAAUACACGAUUAAUACUUUCAAAAUAUAUCAUUUGAUGUAAAAAAAAUCCAUGUACAUUUUACAUCUGUCUUAUAUAUUAGGAACAUUUUUUUCUAUACACAUUUAACAUUUUUUCAAAUACACAAUUAACACUUUUCAAAUAUAUGUUUUGAUGUAUAAUUUGUUUCAUGUUUUACAUUACAUUAGGAACAUUUUUAAACAAAUUUAACAUUUUUUAUAAUUUCACAUACAAUUUUUUAAGUACGUGAAGAUUAUUUUGUUACCACAAUUUGUUUAAUGCUAUCAAUAUUUUUUUAACAAUGCACAAACAUUUUUUUCAAAAUUUCAGCAUUUGUUUGUGGAAUAUAUUUAUUUAUUUUAAUAUGAAAAAAUAGAAGUAAAAAAUAUAGAGAUAAUCUGAGAGAAAAAACAAAACUGAGGGUAGAACUGAACAAAUCUGUCUCUAGGGCGGCCCACCCGGGCGUUUCUUCAGGAGACGCUGGCUUUCGUGUCGCUAUAAGCUACCCAUAGCCGCGCGCAUAUCGAACCAGACAUGAUUGGGUGUUUGCCAUCUUCUUUCACAAGGUGUGGAUAUUGUAGGCAAGCAGCUUAUAUUCAGUGAUGGCUUUUGUCGUAACACGACAACGGUUUGCUCUUUCAGUUUCUUACCAAAGCAACUGCGGUCAUAACAUGAACCUAUCAAUCACACUUGUAACAUUCCCAUGCAACUCUAGCUAGAUUGGUUCAAACACAUUGGCUCACACAUCGAGGCGAUAUAACCGUAGAGUUCACAACAGGCAACCGAAUAACAAAACAUAUGCAACCCUAAUAUCACAAACUCAAAAAUGAAAGAUGUCAUAGCUUGACAAAAAGAAGGCACCGUAAUGCACCAGAUAAGCGAUCGAGAGACUUAAUCACAUUGUGCAUACGCUCGUUCGUGUGGUCAUUUGCUCCCUGGUCCGUGCAGCUACCCUACAACAGACUGCAAGCAAGUCUUUUGAUCGUGGCCAUUGCCGAAGCACCCUUGAUCCCACUUGUUCCCCGCCAAGAAAAAGGCAUCUAAGUACAGCUAGCGCGGCAUAAUUCAAACGUGACACUGGAACCGAUAUAGGUGGACCGGGGUGGUCAGGAACACUGUCAUCGAGGUUAUUAGGCAUGGUUUUCAUAUUUGUACUUCCUACCCUAAAACACGGUUCGGAUUAGCCGUGUUUUUUUUUUCCUUUCAUCGACCUUAGAAAUGUAGAGGCGAUUGCUGCGUCACCCUGUUUCUGUUUUUGCCGCCAUUUCUGAUAUAGCGAUAUAGGUACGGUCCCUAACUGUCCAUUGCAUGGCCGGAGCCUAAGAAUAACGGACGGCGUGCAUCACUUAAUUUGCAUGCUAAGCUUAAUCACCGUGCCACCGGUCAAGUUGAGGCAAAUCUACCCCGGCCGGCUAAAUUCUCGCUGAGCAAUCAAUGGAAAGGAGAUCGCCCUGUUUGAAAAACCAUAAGAAGGAGACGUUGUCAUCGUCGGGAAGCUAGUUAGAAUGGCGUACCACGGGAAGGAGAGCUCGCCGGCGGCGGGGCAGGUGCUGGUGGUGGCGGUGGCGAUGGCGGUGCUGCUGCUGGCGCAGCAUGCGGGGCGCGCCGACGCCAAGAUGAUCUUGUACGACGUGAUGCAGGGGGACGAGGUGCCGGGACGUAACGGGCUGACCCACGUGGAAGACGAGGCCAACAAGUACACCCGCGGCUGCGAGAGCUCCAACAAAUGCAGAGGCUGAGAACCACGGCAUAGCCGGGAUGGUAGGCAUGGGCUGAUGCAUGCCUGCCCGCCUGGGUUCGAGCCUCCGUGCUCGCAAUACCAGCGCGUACUCACCUAAUUCUUCUAUAAAAGUAAACCGAGGGAUUCUUCCCCUCCGGUCUCGAAAAAAAAUACUAACCAAUUUGCACUCAUUACAUUCCUUCCUACCUUUUUUUUGUUAAUAAGCGGGAGAUAAAUACCCACGCGAUUGCCACGGAAUUCGGUUGUAAUUAUUUUAAUAAGAAUUGGUUGUAUGAAAUAUCAUUAGUUAGAUUCACUUGUAGAAAACAGGGCUUUGGUUCGGGCAGAAAAAAGCAUUAAUCCCGGUUGCAUUACGAACCGGGACUAAUGUGAGCAUUAGUCCCGGUUCGAGCGGCUAGGGCACCGUACAGGCAUUAGUCCCGGUUGGUGCCACGAACCGGGACUAAAGGGUGCGAUGCCCAUUAGUACCGGUUCGUGGCACCAACCGGUACUAAAGGUUAGACCUUUAGUUCCGGUUCGAGCCACCAACCGGUACUAAUGGGGUUUGAGGCAUUAGUACCGGUUCAUGGCACGAAUCGGUACUAAAGGUCCCAUUUCCAAACUCUACCCCCUAUCGCCUUUUCAGUUUUGUAAAAAGCAAAAGAAAAUGAUAAAAACUUCAAAAAUUAAAAUCCUUCCAGAUGUAGUUAUGUUACUACAUGUACUAGUUAGGAAAAUUAAAAAACUUAAAAUUGGACAUGUUUUGCAAAAAGUGUAGGGAAAAUGUAAAACGGCUAUAACUUUUGCAUAUGACGUCAGAAAAAAACGUAUAAUAUAUCAAAAUGUUCAGCACGAAAAUCCGCAUCCGAUUUUGACUGCCUACGGCUUGUUUGCAAAUUUUUAGAAUCCUCAAAUUCUAAAAGGAAAAAAAGUUAUGCUCAAAUUUCUGUUUUUUUGAAUUUUUGUUAAAUCUGGUCAAACUAUGGUCAAACUACUUAUUCAAGAAGUAUUAGUGUUACUAAAUAAUUAUCCAAGAAUAUUAUUGUUACUAAAUAAUUAUUUCAAUUUUUUGAAUUUUGGUCAAAUCUGGUCAAACUGUGGUCAAACAAUGGUCAAACUAAUUAUUCAAGAAAUAUUAGUGUUACUAAAUAAUUAUUUCAGUUUUUUUGAAUUUUGGUCAAAUCUGGUCAAACUGUAGUCAAACUAUGGUCAAACUACUUAUUCAAGAAAUAUUAGUGUUACUAAAUAAUUAUUGUUUUUUAGAACAAUAGUUUCAAAUUCAAACAAUGAAAUGUGUGACUUCAUGCUCAAGCUAAAUUCCUGAGGGUUAAUAGGAUUGACAUCUUACUAUUGUCAGGAAAACAACAAGUGAAGACUUGGAAACGAGGGAGAAUAGAACCCGGAAGUUAAGCGUGCUCAGGCUGGAGUAAUGAGAGGAUGGGUGACCGUGUGGGAAGUUAGAUGAUUUGGAAUGAUGAUGGGUGAUUAGAGAUUAGAGGUUAAAUUGAGCAGUGAUGAGGGGUGAUUAAAGAUUAGAGGUUAAAAUAAUUCAGAAAUUUGAAAAUAAAAAAAAAUUCAAAAAAAAUCAUAAAAUUUCCUUUAGUACCGGUUCAACCGGGACUAAAGGUGGACCUCCAGGCAACGGCCACGUGGAGGGCCUUUAGUCCCGGUUCAUGUAAGAACCGGGAUUAAAGGGUCGUUACUAAGUUAAUGGAGAUAACUAUUUAGCUUGGUACUGAUUGAUUUGUUGUCACAUGCACAUUGGCCAAUUUCAUCGAUUCAUGUCGUCCAAUUAGCUAGCCAAGACCUGGCCGUACAUGCUCUGCUGAUUCCUAACUAACAUAGGUUAGAGACCAGUCGAGUGAAAAUGAAUUUUGCGUUUGUCCAAUCGUUUCCACCCUUCAGAUACAGAUCCAACGGUGUAGGUGCCUUUUUCUACCUCUCAAUCAUUUUCCCUGUUCAUCUUCUACCCUAAGCCGUCCGCGGCCAGCGGCGCUCCGGCACCUGCCUCGCCUCCCCGCGCACCGCCGCGCUGCCAUCGUCUCUGGCCAUCCCUCUAACCCUGGCGAUGAACAGAUUUUUCCGGCGGACCAGCACCCUCCCCCCUAAAAUAGAUAGCCGGCGAGCCUACCAUCCUAAUGUAGACACCGGGGUCGCCUGCCAUCCUAAGAUAGACACAAAGGGCUUCGCUGGCGAGCCGGCGGCUGUUUCCUUCAUGUGAACUCGACUGACCCAUAUAUUAUUUUGAUGCAACUUACAAGUAGCUAAAUUGGAAUAAACAAAGCCCAUAUUCCAUAAAAGUGUUAGUAAAUGAGGUUUCCCAAUGUUAAUAAUGCUGUCGAUCGAUGGGGAUGUCCCGGUAGAGAAAGUCAUCAUGCUACAUGAGCGCAUGGCCACCCAUGUGUACAUCACGGCUUUCUUCUUCUCAUCCAACUUAUCUGCAUUGAUCGAGACCACGCACCAGGCCACCUAGGCGGAUUAGGCGCCAUAGCUCCUUCCAGGAGGACAAGUUGCUAGUGGUAACCGGAAUCGUCAUGCCCUUUUGUCGUUGCCACUAACCAGGACGAUCGUCGAUUGAAGUGUAGACGCAUGAAGGUGACGCUUGCGUAGCAGCUACUACAAAACAACCUAUUUUAUUCAUCUCCCGCUUAAUUUAUUUUCUUCCCUCUGAAAUGCUUGCAUAUUUCACAAAACAAAACAUUAAUAACGUCGUGAAGGCGCCUUAGCACAAUCGAGACAAGGAGAUUUCAAGUGGCUCCUCUAUUUUCUCCGACGACGACGUGAACACCACGGAGGGCCGUCGGUUUGAUCCGGGACACUGAGAUUAGCGAAGCACGAAAUGAAAGAGAAAUCUAGCCUUUUUUUUUCUUCUAAUGGAGGAGACGGGUACUAGUAGUCAGCUGAGAACUACGAACUAAAACCGCGACAUUCUUUUUUUGGAAUGGAGGAAGUAACUAUUUUCGAAUCGAUCAAGUCGUGUGUGCUUGAUUAUGAAAACAUUUCAGUUUUAUAAUUAAGAAAAUCUCCUUAAUCGCCAGAAAGAAAAUGAAAGGAGAAAGAAUACUACUACUAAUAUAAAGAGCUGCUUUUGUAGCUAGGCAACAUUCUCGCAGCAUCAACGUUAAGGCGGUAGCUGCCAUGGUAGUGGUUGGACCGGCAGUGAUCACCGUCAGCUUGAUCACGACUGAUCGACUGAUUGGUGUGAGACUAGGGCGUGCCAUACGUGCACACCGGCCAGCCGCCCACCCGACCCGGGCAGGCAUCAACAGCACAAGAGUACAGUGCAGUACGACUGCACAAUGAUUUCCCUCAUCUUCCUCUUUGAUUGGAAUGCACAGGACUAACAAAAUUUUAAAAAGUAUUCAAGCAUGUAUUAUGUGUGAUGGAAAGCGUAUGUGUGGGUAGCUAGUUUUCUCAUUGAUCAACGUACGUACUUAAUUGAUGGAGUAUUGCAUAAUUACUUGGUUAAAUUCAGCUAUCAUCAAGUAGCUAAUUCAUUGUAUCAGCAGAAUCAUGAACCCAAGAAUAACACAUGGGUAAAACUACUGAUUAUAAUCAAUCCAUACUCUGGAUAUCACAAGGGAGGGUUGUAGGGGUAGUUGAAAAGCGCUGUAGCUGAAAAGAAGGUCGUUGCUUUGCAAGAAAAAAAAUAAUGCAAACCUUACUAUAUGUACACAUCUACCGGUUAAUCUAGAGCUUCAGAUGAUUAAAUAACUUUGUAUGUGCCACUCCAUGGAAAAUUGAGUAAACACAUCUCUUUAUUAAUCAAGAAGCUACAUACGCGGCAACAAACAAACAUGAUCACAUGUACUACUACAAGUAGUUGCAAGCAGCAAGAGCAGAACAGAACAGAAGAUAGGCAGGAGUCAGAUGGAUCGGAUGAAAAAAAGAAAACGGAAGAAGGGGAAGAGCAGCUUAAUUGGAGCUGGCCGGCCGGGGUGAUGGAGCUCAGCCGGUCUCUAGUCAGUGGUGAUGUGCACGCCGAUGACGAUGACGAAGAGCGCGAUGAGGGCGAAGUAGAUGAUGGCGUGGACGAGGAUGGCCAUGGCGCUGGUGUGCAUGUUGCCGAACUCCACGAAGUGGUGCUUCCCGGGGAGCUGCAGCAGCAGCCCCGGCGACAGCAGCACGAACAGCACCACCGCGAUCACCACCGGCCCCCAGUCCGACAUCCUCCCUCUCCCUCCCCUUCUCCGACUCCGGCAAGCUUCUUUCUUUCUCUCUAGCUAGCUCCUCGCGGCAGAGAAAGGAAGGCAAUGGAGCAGAGCAGAACAGGAGCGGGGGCGCAGAGUAGAGCAGAGAAGGAUGGUGUGAUUGUGGAGGGAAAGGCGUGAGGGCUCCCUUUCAUCGCCAUUCGGUUGGUGACGUCUCGCUUUCCCUACCGCCUACGACCACAUCGCCCGUUUUCUAGUCACACCUUUUGCACUUGUAUUUUCUAGUCACGCCUUUUGCACUUGCGCUUCAGAAAAGAAAAGAAAAGUUUUUUUCUAAAUUAUUAUAUACUGUUAGCAGCUCCAUGCAUGAAUUUUUUUUAAUCAAAUCUUAUGAUUAGGUAGUCCUUUUUGCGAAAAAGGACCUAGAUCUUUUACAAAGGUUUGUAAAAAGGGCAAAGCAUCCUAUAUACAUAAUAAAAUAAAAUCGAGCACAACCGAAGGACCACUGCCACCGUCGGAGUGGCCAUCUAUGCGCAGCUAUUGAUGCUCUCCUCUACCUGAGCCGGUUUGACUUCGUUGAUGACAGUCGGGAAGUCUUCAUGCACGUGCCCCUAAGGUGCGGCGUACUAGAGCUGAUAUCAUCGCCACUGAACCCUUGAAUAGAUCUAAAACAUCUGACUCCAAAUCUAAUCAUCGCACACAAACAACGAGAAACUGUAACCUCAUCACACCAAGGAGACAUCAUGGAUCUACACCGGAGCUCCAUCGAAUCCAUCCCGAUGGACAAACUCGAUGAGAAUCGAUGUCCGGAAGACCAACUCGAAAUGAACCACCGACAUCUACCUAAACGCCGCUUAUGCGAGAACAAAAACCCUAACCUAAACUACUACCCAAAGUCGAGGCACCGAGAUCCCCCUUCCCCAUCACGGCCGCCUGAGCGGCACGCAGAGGGGAGGUGGAUCCAUGGGCUCACCGGCGAAGCCUGAAGGGAAUGAGUGCCCUAGCCGCCGGAGUCACGAAAGUGAAAAGGAAACCCUAACUUGGCGGGAAGGUUUGUGUAUUUUCUUUGACCAUUUAUAAUUAGGUAGUUAAAUAGGUGAUUUCGACAACAACAGGAGCGAGGAGAACAACUUCAGAAACGAAACCUUUUUUAAAUUUCACUUGUUUAACUCCAUGGAUGGGGAGUUCAAACAAUUAUGAUUAGCUAGCUAUAUCUAGGUGAUUUCAAUGCCACAACAACAUCAAGGAGGAGAACAACCGCAAUUUUGCUUUUUUUUAAUGAGCUUGUUGAUAACAGACAGGCAGGCAGGCAGGCAGGCUGGUGGACAGUGAGUGUGAGAGUGAGGUCUCUCUGGCGGGACACCUCUCACUCUCGUCCUGUCCUCCAUGAGAGUGAGUGCUGAGGUCAACUGGCAAUGCUCAUUGCGUGACCAAUAUCUCCUCCCAACUGACAACGACUUGGCCUGAACUUUUCUUAUCUAUUCGAGCAUAUCGUACCUUAAUCUAGAAUACAAUCCAGUGGAACCAAUGCGGGAGAUGUAAUUGCGAUUAACCUUCAGGAAGCUGCAUGAAGAAGAUGAUGAUGGUCUCUCAUGUUUUAUGGCCGUGCCUGAAACUUCGCUUUCCACCGAGCAAGAACAAGUGGCGGAGGGCGAAAUGAGGAAAAGGUGGAGAAGAAAAAUGUGCGUGUAGAGGAUACGCAACACCUAAAGCCACACACACAAAAACAAUAUGCUAGCUAGCUAGCUGGUCCAUGCCAUGGCAUAUUGACAUGACAACUCCGCUUAUUUGCUGCAACCAUUUCAAAGGACACAGUGGAUAUGCUAUACUCCCUCCGUUCCUAAAUAUAAGCCUUUUUUAGAGAUUCCAACACAGACUACAUAUUAAGCAAAAUGAGUGAAUCUACAUUCUAAAAUAUGAUUAUAUACAUCCAUAUGUAGUUCCUAUUGAAAUAUCUAAAAAACUUAUAUUUAGAAAUGGAGGGAAUACAUUAUUUAGAAACUUAUAUUUAAAAAACGUAUCGAAAUAUCUAAACAAUACAUUUUUUUUUAAUUUUCAUAAAUAUUACGCUGGGUAAUUUUUUUCAAAAAUAAUACUCCGUCGGCCCGUUGCAGGCCGACUGGGCCUAGUCGGCCCACAGCAGGCCGAUUGGACUGGCCCCUGUCGGCCCACUGUGGGCUGAUUGGGUCCUGUCGGCCCACUGUGGGUCGACUGGAGCUAAUUAGCUCGUUGUGGGCUAAUUGUUUUUGCAAAAAAAGUAGGCAUAAAAAAUAUGUUUAAAAAAUAUUAAUUAUGUAAUUAAAAAAUGUUAAACGUGUAUAAAAAAAUGUUCCUAAUGUAUAAAAAAAAUGUACAAUAUAUAUGCAAAAAAGUUGACAUAAAAAAUAUGUUUUAAAAAGUGUUAAGCAUGUUUUUAAAAAUUGUUAAAUGUGUCUAUAAAAAAUGUUUCUUAUCUAUUCAAAAAAUAUAGAAUGUGUAUGAAAAAAAGUUGACACCAAAAAAAUAUGUUUGAAAAAAAUAUUCCAGUUCCAUACAAAAAGAGCAACCAAUCAUACUUAGGUCUGUGAUGCUCCCAUACCGGAUCCGGAGCUGGAACAUUUUUUAUACACGUUUAACCUUUCAUUCCAAUACAUGAAACAUUUUUGUGUACUCGUUGAACAUUUUUUCAAAUACAUGAUUAACUUUUUUUCAAACAUAUUUUUUUGGUGUCAACUUUUUUCAUACACAUUCUAUAUUUUUUGUGUAGAUAAGUAACAUUUUUUCAAAUACAUGAUUAAUAUUUUUUUCAAACAUAUUUUUUUGGUAUCAACUUUUUUUCAUACACAUUCUAUAUUUUUUGUAUAAAUAAGGAACAUUUUUUAUACACAAAUUUAACAAUUUUUAAAUACAUGCUUAACACUUUUUAAAACAUAUUUUUUAUGUCAACUUUUUGCAUAUAUAUUGUACAUUUUUUGUAUACAUCAGGAACAUUUUUUUUAUACACAUUUAACAUUUUUUAAUUACAUAAUUAACUUUUUUUAAAACAUAUAUUUUUUAUGCCUAAUUUUUUUGCAAAAAAAUUAGCCCACAGCGAGCCAAUUAGCUCCAGUCGGCCUACAGCUGGCCGACAGGAGUCCAAUCGGCCUGCUGUGGGCCGACUAGGCCCAGUCGGCCUGCAACGGGCCGACGGUGUAUUAUUUUUGAAAUUUUUUUAUCCAGCGUAAUAUUUAUGAAAAUUAAUUAAAAAAUGUAUUAUUUUAAAAAAAUAGCCAUUAUUUGCAUGGAUGAAUAUAUCGUCGAGGAUAUAACAAGAAAAAGAACACUGACAAGAGUUACCAAGCAAGAUCUGCUGCAUAUCAGUUUGUGCUCCUUAAUUAUAUCCAAGUGUAUCGAAACGGCAGUAUGGCUUUUGUUUGCUGCAUGAUGGAGACUGGUUCCCCCAUUCAGUUAGGCCGAUCUACAGUUUACGCAACUCAGCCAUACUCAUUCCUGAUUUCAUCUAUUCUCAUAUCGUGGGGAAACAAUGAAACACUUUCUUUCCUGCCGGCUCCUUGCUUGCUUAGUCUUUCUCUGCUCCCAUAAAAUCGACGAUGAUAAGAAGACAAAAAUAAAAUUCACCAGACAAGCUCAACCCCUUUCGUUCCUGAAUGCGUGAUCCACCCAAGUGUAUUCACAUGCCUUUUGUUGAUGCUAUGAUGGAGACAUGUUUUUCCCAUUCAGUUAGGCAGAUCAACGUUUUUCUUUCUAGCAUAUUGUUAACUCCAUGGAUGUGUUUAUUUAAUUCUUAAUUAUGAUUAGGUAGCUAAGUAGGUGAUUUCAACAUCAACAACACCAAGCACUAGGGCAUCAAUAAAGAGAACAACCAACUUCAAGAAAGAAAACUUCUUAAAAUUUCACUUGUUUAAUUCCAUGCAUGGGACUUUCUUUCCUUUCUUUUUUUAAGAAAAUGAGGAUUAUGAUUAGCUAGCUAAUUAGGUGAUUUCAACACAAGAUUAACAUCAAGGAGAAGGAGAAGAGUGAUUUCACUUGUUUUUAAUGAGCUUGUUGUUAACAGACAGGCAGGCAGGCAGGUGGGCAGUGAGAGGGUGAGAGCUAGGUGUCUCUGGCUGGACACCUCGCACUUUUUCCUCUGUGGGAGGAAAAAGUGCUUAAUUGUGUAGAGGAUAAGUAACACCUAAGGCCACACAGACAUUGACAAUUUAAUUGAUUUGCUGCAACCAUCUCAAAGGACAUGUCGGAUAUACAUAUAUACGCAUGGAUAAUAUCAUCACAGAUAAUAAAGAAAAAACAAUCGAUGAUUCUUACUUUACGGGCAGAUAAUACAUGGAAAACAAUGUGUGUAGAGGAGACGCAACACCUGAAGUGUCACACACACACACACACACACACACACAAACAGUACUAUGCUAGCUGGCUUGUCCCUGACAUGGACAAUUCAAUUGAUUUGCUACAACCAUUCGAAUGACACAGUGGACACAAAAACAUAUAUGAAUGAAUAAUUUCUCCAAGAUAAGAAGAAAAAACUGUAUGCAUACCGGUGUGUUCUUCUUUUGUUCAUGCAUGCAUGUUGGAUGGACCAAGUGUAUCAGCAGUAUGGCUUUUAUUUGCUGCAUGAUGGCGACAGGCUCCCCCAUUCUGUUAGUCCGAUCUAAGAACUUCACAAUUCAGGCAUGUGCUUAGUCCAAAAUUCAAUUAUUUAUCGUAUCCCGGAUUUAAAUUAAACGAUAAAACGCUUGAGACAGGUUUCUCUGCAUGGAUAAAAACAACAAGGAUAACAAAAUAGAAAAACCCAAAUGAUAAGUGCCACACGUCAGGUGCGUGGCACUCCGGCCCUGACGUUUUUCGAAGGAAAUUCCAGUCAUGCAAGGAUGACAAAUUGCAGUGAUCUGUCAAAAAUAAACUGAAGCACGAAAGUUGUCAUGCUUGUCAACUAAAGUUGCCAUCCUUGUGUAACUAAACUUGCCAUCAAAAACGUUCGAAGUUGCCAUAUGCAUGCACCUGACGUGUGGCACUUAUGAGGGUCCUAGAAAAAGGAAACAAAUAUAGUUAUCAAGCAAAAUCAACUGUAUGUUGCUCUCUUCGCCCAUUGUUCCUGAAUGCAAUACCCAUCUAAGUGUAUUCACAUGCCUUUUGUUGAUGCUAUUGCAAUGGUUGAGACAUGUUUUUCCCGUUCAGUUAGGCAGACAUUUUUUUAGCAUACUGUUAACUCCAUGAAUGUGGUUAUUUAAUUCCUAAUUAUGAUUAGGUAGCUAAGCAGGUGAUGUCAACAUCAACAACAACAACUACUGCAUCCGUAAAGAGAACAACAACUUCAAGGAAGAAAAACUUCUUAAAAUUUCACAUGUUUAAUUCCAUGCAUGGGACUUUCUUUCCUUUUUUAUAAGAAAAUGAGGAUUAUGAUUGGCUAGCUAGUUAGGUGAUUUCAACACAAGGUUAACAGCAAGGAGGAGGAGAAGAGUGAUUUCACUUGUUUUUAACAAGCUUGUUGUUCACAGACAGGCAGAUGGACAGUGAGAGGGUGAGAGCGAGGUGUCUCUGGCUAGACACCUCCCACUUUUCCCCUGUGAGAGUGAGUGCUGAGGUCAAUUGGCCACAAGGCAAAUGCUUAAUUGUGUAGAGGAUACGCAACACCUAAAGCCACACACACAAACAACAUGGUAGCUAGAGGUCCAUGACAUUGUCAAUUCAAUUGAUUUGCUGCAACCAUUUCAAAGAACACAGUGGAUAUACAUAUAUACGCGUGAAUAAUAUCAUCAAUCAAAGAUAAUAAAGGAAAAACCACCGAUGAUUGUUACCGACGGGAAAGAUAAUACAUGGAAAACAAUGUAUGUAGAGGAGACGCAACACCUAAAGUCACACAAACAAAAACAA